UGGGGAAUUUUGGACAAUGGGCGAAAGCCUGAUCCAGCAAUGCCGCGUGUGUGAAGAAGGCCUUCGGGUUGUAAAGCACUUUUGUCCGGAAAGAAAUCCUUGGCUCUAAUACAGUCGGGGGAUGACGGUACCGGAAGAAUAAGCACCGGCUAACUACGUGCCAGCAGCCGCGGUAAUACGUAGGGUGCAAGCGUUAAUCGGAAUUACUGGGCGUAAAGCGUGCGCAGGCGGUUUGCUAAGACCGAUGUGAAUCCCCGGGCUCAACCUGGGAACUGCAUUGGUGACUGGCAGACUAGAGUAUGGCAGAGGGGGGUAGAAUUCCACGUGUAGCAGUGAAAUGCGUAGAGAUGUGGAGGAAUACCGAUGGCGAAGGCAGCCCCCUGGGCCAAUACUGACGCUCAUGCACGAAAGCGUGGGGGAGCAAACAGGAUUAGAUACCCUGGUAGUCCACGCCCUAAACGAUGUCAACUAGUUGUUGGGGAUUCAUUUCCUUAGUAACGUAGCUAACGCGUGAAGUUGACCGCCUGGGGGAGUACGGUCGCAAGAUUAAAACUCAAAUGAAUUGACGGGGUC
rnacentral:rRNA from 1 species